rnacentral:misc_RNA from 1 species
UUUCCGUAGGUGAACCUGCGGAAGGAUCAUUCAUAAUAAGUGUUUUCUGGCACUUUUUUAAAUCCAUAUCCACCUUGUGUGCAAUGUCAGGGUUGGUCUCUUUUGAUCAGCCCCAAACAUCAACUAUUAUCUCAACUCUUUGUCUGAAAAAUAUUAUGAAUAAAACAAUUCAAAAUACAACUUUCAACAACGGAUCUCUUGGCUCUC